rnacentral:sRNA from 1 species
AACAGAGGAACUCAGUCUACGAACGCCACUUCCUGUGGCAACGACUGAGUGACCGACAUCGUGUCGG